rnacentral:rRNA from 1 species
UACGUAGGGUGCAAGCGUUGUCCGGAAUUAUUGGGCGUAAAGAGCUCGUAGGCGGUUUGUCGCGUCUGCUGUGAAAACCUAAGGCUCAACCUUGGGCUUGCAGUGGGUACGGGCAGACUAGAGUGCGGUAGGGGGUGACUGGAAUUCCUGGUGUAGCGGUGGAAUGCGCAGAUAUCAGGAAGAACACCAAUGGCGAAAGCAGCUUUCUGGGA